UCUUAUGGAUGAACAAAAAAAGUGGUUUCUGGAGAUAGGAUCCACUCCUGGUGAAGAUACUGUGAC
rnacentral:pre_miRNA from 1 species